GCAGAGUCCGGCUGUGUUCCGAAGUGACUUUCCUAGUCACGCCGCUUCCCCGGCCCCGGGAAGGGUGGGGCGCCGAGCAGGGCACCCCGGGCCGUCCGCGGCGUUUCCUGCGGUGGGCGGAGGAUACUGAACCUAUGUGGUGCGGACUACUCGGUGGCUUCGUGGUAAAAAUCCGGCCGCUCCGCAAAGUGUAAAGAAGAACUUUAAAACCUCUCGGGCAGACAGGCACCGUGGCCCUCAUUUUAUACACGAAGAAACAAGCUGGGGAGGCCAAGGGCCUGGCCCCGGGGGAGGCGGGCAGCGGGUUUCAUGGGUGCCAGGGCAGUCCCGCCCGACUUAGCGUUAGGCUCCUUGCGGCAGGUGCGAUCCGUAGCCCUUUCUAGGUUCUGAACACGUGGCGUUAGCCAGCCACCUAGAUGCUGCGUGGGUGGGCCCGCAGGGGCGCCCAUGAACCCACGUUCAAAUCCUGUCACUGUGACUCACCAUCUGCGUUACCUCCAGCACAUCGUAGGACUUUCAAGCCAGGAAGUUCAAGUGAGAUAAACGUAGCCUGGGAUUGCUGGGCAAGCUAAACUCCCCAUUACCAGGCGAUAAGAAGGGAAGGGAUCUAGCAUUUGUUAGAUACCUAAGGUCUCCCAGCCAGGCACUUCCCAUACCGCAUUUAAGCCUCGCAACACCCUACCAGCUGUUACCAUCCCCUUUUUACCGCAGGGGGAAACCGAGUCUGUAACUUGUUGAUCUGUAUGGAGAUUGGAUCCCUGACCCUCUGACCUCUUUUUAGUGAGGGAUUAGAGAAGAGGGCAAGCCUCAAGGGGCCGCUUGGGCCGGCAUACCCUGGAUCGAGCCUGCGAUCUCACUGGGGCACUUGAGGACGUCCGGGGCUAUUACAAAUAUUGCUUCCAAGUUGGGGCUCCUUGUAAAACCCGGCGAAGGAGCCUCGGGGCCAGAAGGCGAGCAGGAGGAGGGGGAAGACUGAUGUGGCAAUCCUGCGGCCAGAGCGAGAGGAGGAAGGAAGGUCAGGAAAUGAUUAACCGGGCCGGGCAGUGGUUAGAGCCGGGCACCUCCCCGCAAUGCAGUCCUAGAGCAGCCAGGGACGCCCCGUCAAUCACUUCUUACUCCUCCCUACCUCCCACGCCACAAGUCGGCCUCUUCCGCAUAGACCUCUGCCUAAUGGUAUCCACCCACCGGGGGCACCUCUGCUCAUCCUUUCCCCAGAAGUAUUUCUGGGUCCUCAAAGAUCUGUCCUUUUCCAAGUGGUAUUUGCUGUUAGAGCAAGCCUCGGCCUGGGAUUUUUAUGGCAGUGAUGCGUUGUGGAAAGUGCGUCUGCCUAGGAAGGCAGGCCGGCAUGCUUUCAAAUCUUAGCUCUGCUGCCUACUUGACGGCCAGGCUUAGCAAGCGUCUCUAGCCGUUCCAAGCCUUUUCUAGAUCUGUAAAACUGGAAGAAGAAUACUUGUCUCGCAAGGAACAUGUGAGAAUUCAUGAAAAUUGCCACCACAUACUAGGUGGCCAAUAAAUUAUAACUUUGUAUUUGUUUUUACUGACACUAGAUGAGAGCUGCUUCCCUGGGAAGCGGGAGGAGGAGAAACAAUAAUAUCUGCCCUUGGCUCAAGUUCUUCCACCCAUCUCUCCAUGUCAACCUAUUUGUCUUUAAGGCCUUGCUCCACCAACCUUCUGUUUCCUCCGGACACCCACCCCCACUUAGCAUCCAUAACCCCUUGUUCGGCCCUGGAGCAUGACCUCACUCAGGCCAUGCUUCAUACUGGUAUGUAAUAUUUCUUCACCCUCUCAGAGACUCCGUUUCCUAAUCCCCUAGACUUCAGUUUAAACAUCACUUCCUGAGGGAGUCUUUCCCGACCCUUUCCCACCCGCAGGGUACCUCCCAGUGUGUGAUGUCCUUGUCUGCCCCAACACCGGCUUUUAAAAACACUUAAAACAAAAAACAAAACAAAAAAAAAAACAGUGUCUCCUAUAUUGCCCAGGCUGGUCUCGAAAUCCUGGGCUCAAGAGAUCCUCCCGCCUAGGCCUCCCAAAGUGCUAGGAUUACGGGCAUGAGUCACCGCGCCCGGCCUAAAAACACUCUUCAUGCGUGUAAUUAUUUGUUUAAUGUCUCUCUUCCUCUUGUUUGUCCAUAAGGUAGCAAACAAGUCUGUCUGGUUUUCUGCUUUAUUUCUAACAUGCAAUGUAGAACAUGGAGGAUGUCUGAUAAGUAAGUGAAUACAUGACAUGAACGGGUGAGUGUGCGGUAUGUUAGCCAUGUCUACCAUGGGCAAGAGCCUAGCAGGUGGCCCAAUAUUUGCCAAUAUUUGACCCCUAGAGAUGAUCUCUAAAUUUCCUUUCAGUUCUAGCUUUAUGAUUUUAACGGAAUCAGGAAUGUGAAAGUGCUUUGUAAGGUGUAAGCUAUUUUAAGGGAAAAAAAAGUUUCCAUUAGUGACUUCUCUCCCCAGCUAGAAUAAAAACCCUUGGGAGCAGGGGCCCUAAUUUAGUCCCGAUUGUGAUAGUCCCCAGAGGGCAAGCUCUAUCAGGCAGUCCAGAGAAGUUGGGCAAAAUCAGAGAGGCCCUCCUGGGGCGUUUGCUAGAUUUCCCUAAAAUAGUGAACUUUCCUGUGUCUUUGAAAGUUUCCAUAAUAAGAAAAGAGUGGAGAAAAAGAAACCCGCAGUGAGUAAAUGAGUCAAAUGGGGGAAGACCAUGAGGCACACUGGGAAAUCUGCCUUUUCAGUCCCUCGUUUCUUCAGCUGCAUUUAAUACAACAUUCGCGUUUUUAUUCUUGGCCCGCAUCCCUCUGGCACUGAGGAGCUCUGACUUACAUCCCAGGGAGCCCUGAUGGUGACGAGCCAGCCUCCAGCCUCCAGCUCCCGUGCUCUUGAGUGCGCUGCUCCCGGGAUUCCCCACCCAGCCCUCUGGACAUCCGGGGGCGGGGAGGGAGGGUGGUUUCCGCGGCAAAACCUGCCCGAAGCGGCGGGCCUGUUCUAAAAGUUUGCAUUUUUCAAAGGGGAGGAAUGCAAAAUUGCAACCGUACUAUCAAAUGUUUCUCUCCUAAAGGAUAAUUGUGUAUAUACAUGGAAGUGGGGUCGGUAGUGAGGGGAGGGCAAGGUCAUAUAUUGCAGGGGAACCACUUCAGGAAAGGUCUCAAGGUUGCCGCGAUUUUCCUAAAACCUUAAACUUAGGACUUUUGGCAGAAUUGAUGGUCCUUAACCAACAAUUACAAGGCAGACCAGGCCCUGGGGAAAACUAGCUCUGACUAUCCUCACCCAGGGAAGGCUCAUUGGAAACACUCCGAGAGAUGGCUUAAUUAUUAAUAUUUACCAUAGAGAUUGUUCUAGGAGCAACGCCUCCUUGGGAAACCAAAGUUAUAUCAAGAGGAGGCUUGGUAAGUGUUGGGGGCAGGGAAUGGGCCGCUGCCGCUCAGAGACUCUUCUGUUGCCUGGUUUAAUUUUCCUAGUGGCACCUAUCUAAUAUUUCCUUGCAUGUUUACUUGCUUAUCUAUUGUCAGUCUCCAUGAGAACAAAGAUCUUGCCAGUGCUGUUGGUUGCCUGAUUUCCAGCCCCUGGAAUACAGCCUGGUAGGUGGCAGGCCCUCAGUAACUAUUUGUUGAAUGACUAAAUAAAUGGAGAGGGGUGGGUGUGGGCUCCAACCACCCAGCUCUCACUUCCCCACUCAGGAAUACUGGUGGUGUCAUUCUCCCCACUACUUCCCAUUUACCCCUUUCACAUCAUCUCCCUGCUGGAAUUCUUCAGUGGUUCCCCACCUUUUGGAAAAAAUCCAAAACCCACUGCUCUCACAGGUACCUGGCCCCUCCCUUUUAUUAUAACUUUUUUUUUUUUAACUGUUACAGAAGUAUUUCAAAUAGUCCCCUCAUAGAAAUUGUGCUUCCUCAUACCUCCGUGUCCUCCCCUGUCUGGUCCCCUUCUACUUGGUCUGCUCCUACUCCUUCCCCAUGAAGCACAUAGCCUCUUCCGGGAAGCCCUCCGUCACUCACCCAAGCACACUUCUCACAUGGUGCUGUUAUUUUCUGUUCACAUUUCAGUCUGUCUUGGGAAUAGGUGUUUUGUUUUUUUUUUUUCAUCUGAGGAUUUUCAGCACCUAGUUCAGCAAUAGCAGAUCUUAAAAAAUUUGUCCACUGAAUGUUGUUGGAAGUGCUCCUUUUUAAAGUGAUUACAGCAAUAAUUAUAUGAUAUGGUCCCCUAAGUAUUCAGAGAAAGGACCUCAACUAUUUGAGAACGGAAACUUACAUGUUAUUGGGUCCCAACUAGGUGUCUGAUACUGUGGCAACUUGUUGGGACCCAAUAAAUACUAUGGUUUUUAUUUCUUCUUUAAUCCUUCCCCCCUACCAAUGCAAAAACAAAAAAACAAAAACAAAAACAAAACCUUGGAGGUGGAUAUUAUCAUCUCCAUUUUACUGGUGAGAGAACUAAAGUUCAAAGAAUGUUAAAUAAUUGCACAAAUUUACACAAUCAGUAACUGGUCUUUUAUCAAAAGAGGUAAGGUUUCACCCCUCAUGCACAUGGUCAUGUCAAUGAUUUUGCAGUAUUACACAGGAGAAGCCAAAGUUCCGAAUAAUGGAGUCAUUUAGUGACCACAGGACACAGACAAGCCUCUGAGUAACUGAAGAAAGAUUUAUGUUCGGUGCCAUUGUUGUAAUUACCGCAUCAUCAACAUAUUGACUUAUACUGCUUUUAACGCUUUCCUCUUUAUCAUUGAAAUCUCCUUUUAUGAAGGAGAUGAGGGGGUUUUCUUGUUUAAAGACCCACUUUGCAGAUAAAGCACUGACAGAUUAAGCAAAACAGUGUGGCUCUAGCACCAAACAACUUUUAUUUAUUUAUUUAUUUAUUUAUUUUGAGACACGGUCUCUUUCGUCCUGGCUGGAGCAGGAUCGCAGCUCACUGCAGCCUUGAACUCCUGGGCUCAAGCUAUCCUCCUGCCUCAGCCUCCCAAGAAGCUGGAACCACAGACAUGUGCCACCACACCUGGCUAAUUAAAAAAAAAAAUUUGUAGAGAGAGGGUCUCACUAUGUUGCCCAGGUCUCCAGUGGCUCCAGCCUCAGCCUCCUGAGUUGCUGGGAUUACAAGCGUGAGCCACCUUGCCCGGCCCCAAACAACUCUUUGAUAGUAGAUAAGUCACUUCUCUCUGGGCCCCAAUCUUUCUUUCCAUCUGUAAAAUCGGGGGUUGAACUAAAUGACCAUUGAGGGCCUUUCCAGAGAGAGAAUCCAGCAAUCCGGUGAUAGUUCACAGUCAUCCAGUGACACCAGCAGAGGCAACACUGCUUUGUGUGCUGUGGAAGAGACUGCUGUUUACACCAAAUGUGCUUUCUUUUCCUCUUGGUUUCACAACUCGAAAUUUCUCGGCUUCCCUUGUAGCUAGGUGUGGCCAUUUUAGCCAACGCUGUCUGAGCAGAAAUCACAAGAAAGCCUUGGCUGGGGCUGGGCGCAGUGGCUCACGCCUGUAAUCUCAGCACUUUGGGAGGCCGAGACGGGCAGAUCACAAAGUCAGGAGAUGGAGACCAUCCUGGCCAACAUGGUGAAACCCCAUCUCUAAUAAAAAUACAAAAAUUAGCUGAGUGUGGUGGCGUGCGCCUGUAAUCCUAGCUACUCGGGAGGCUAAGGCAGCAGAACAACAUGAACCCAAGAGGUGGAGGUUGCAGUGAGCCGAGAUUGCGCCACUGCACUCCAGCCUGGGUGACAGAGUGAGACUCCAUCUAAAAAAAAAAAAAAAAAAAAAGGAAAGCCUUGGCUAGGGCUGUGAACAGCUGCCCAUGACAAAAAUACUUCAGUGUCCAGUUUUGUUUAUCAAUAACACAUGAAGGAAAUAGGAGAAAUACAUUAGGCCAGGCCUAGAAUGAAACAGGUCUUCUAGGCUUGUAGUCUGCCCUUCUUGUGUUCUGUCUUCGAACAUUCAUUUAUUCGGCACAUCUUGUCUGUGCCCUACCACGUGCCAGGCACUGAAGAUUCAGCAGCUCAGGGCUACACGGGUCUUCCAUUCUGUUGACAUCUCUUUGCCACUACCAAGAUGGAAAAUGUUGUGGUAUCACUUAUUUCCCCUUGCUCAUUAGUUGCCUGAUUAGACAUCAGAACCUCUGAGUUUCAGUCAAAGGGCUGUCUAGACUCGGAGCUUUAAGCCUUUUAAUUGUGAAAAUGACAUCACCAGUAAAGGGCCUGGCCUGGUGCUUGGCACACAGUAGACCGUCCAUAAAUGUCUGUUUUUUUGAGACCUUGGCAAAGAGGAGGAUUGAUGUGGGAGGUGGCGCAGAAGGUUAGAUUUUUGUCAUUUUAGAGAGAUCUGAGCUAGAUCAUUCAUUCAACAAAUAUCACUGUUGCACUAGGCUUUGAGAUAGAAGAGUGUGCAACGCACAGAUUAAGCCUCAAAGGGAUGAGGCAAGGUAUAAGAGAAACAGACUAGCAAACAGGCAAUUGCAACACAGUGUGAUAAGUGCUAGAAGGGGAAGUACAGGAUGUUUCUUAGCCACAAACAAGGGGCAACUAACCCAGGCUGGUGAGUGGGGGUGGGGGAAGCAUCAAGCAAGGCUUCCUGGAGGAAGUAGCAUAUGACCUGAGACUUGACGGAGACCUAGGCAUUAGGAAGGUAAAGUAUGGGGAAGGAGUGGGGAAGGGUGCAUAGUGUCCCAGGCACACGGAACAGUAUCUACAAAAGCUCAAAGGGGCUCAGAGAGGAUUGAAACUGAUAGUCUGGCUGGAGAGUCAUGUACAAGGGGAUGGAAGGCUGAGAGAUGAGGCUGGCAAGGUAAGAUGAUGAAGGGCUGCUAAAGGGUUGUCACAGAGAACUGUGAGUAGAGGAUUCUGGAUCCCAGGACCCUGGCAUCUUUCAGGGUUGCAUUUUUUCAGGUCCUGGGAGAGGGGAUAAGGGGGCAAAGAUACAGAAAGAAAGGGGAGACAGAGUAAAGAAACAAACUAACAAUUACUAAAAAUCUAUAAGAUGUUCAUAGCCUGGGCAACAUGGCAAAACCCAUCUCUACAAAAAAUACAAAAAUUCGUCAGGUGUGGUGGUGCACGCCUGUAGUCCCAGCUACUUGGGAGGCUGAGGUGGGAGGAUCGCUUGAGCCCAGGAGGUUGAGGCUGCAGUGAGCUGUGAUCGUACUGCUGCACUCCAGCCUGGGCGACAGAGCAAGGCUCUGUCUUAAAAAAAAAAAAAAUUUUACUGUAUUAGUCAUCUGAGAAAUGCAAAUAAAAACCACAGUGCCUACCUAGCUAGAAACAAAUAGACAGGGGUUAGAAUGGAGAUGUGACUCUCAGCCUCACGCAUACCUUAUCGUUACCAGAUCUCUCCCAGACUAUGUCCCAGAGGAGUUUACAACCCACUGAGAAGGAGAGACUCAUAGACUUUAAGAAGUGAAUUGUGAUGGGAAGAAGAAUCCAAGGCUUAGGGAACCUCCACCUCUGUCUUCCCCUCUUCCUUCCUAACCCUAAUCUGCAGUGUCCAUUCUUCUAUCCAGAAUAUUCAGCUGACCAGAAAAUGAAUUUCCCAAACAUCCAGAACAUAGAUUUUCAUAGUCCCAGACCUUUCCAUGAGGUGCUUGAUGCAUUGGAAAAAAGUGGGGCUUUGAGUCAAAUAUCAAGCAGGCUGGAGUCCUGCUUCUACCACUGAUCUUGGGCCAGCAGCCUGACCUCUUCUGAGCCUCCAUCUCUGAAAUGGGAAUAACAUUAGCUGCUUCCAAAAUGGUGACAUCCCUACUUUAUAUCCCUCAGCCAGAUACUUAAUGUUUGGAAAGAGAGAGCAAGGAUUUCUAUGUUAUGAUCAGCACCACGUUCUGAAGUUGCUUUUGUGCAUUUAUGUAAUCACACCACAGGUUAUAAGCAUAUUUUAUAAUUAAGUCAUUGAGAAAGCUCUGUGCUGACCCCAUUAUAAAUAUUUUCUGGCAGCAAUAGCAGGGGAAAAUAUAUUUAUAUUUAACAUUACUACUGUCCAAAGAACAACGGUGAGAAAGUAAGGAAAGGGGCUUAGAGCUCUUUGGCCUUUCUCAGUUACCUGUGGGACAGCUGGGGUCUUCUGGCUAGAAAUGGAGCCCAGAAGCAGCAAGGCUUCAUGGAAAAUUAUGCUUCCUAAGAGCCCCUGGGGCAGAGCAAUUACAGAACUGGAAGGGUCGGGAGUUUCGUAGAGGAGGAAGCUGAUCCCAGAUCCAGCAUCACAGAGUCCUCUGGUCAGCUCCUGACACCAUAAUGCUCCUUGCUUGCCAGGUUCUGUGCAAAGCAAGCUACAGAAGAGGUUUUGGGGCACUGAACUGGCCUUUUUCCAGUGUGCAAACCAUGCAAGCUGAUUUUACUAGGGGAAAAGAUGGCUGCAGAGGGAAAAGCACCAAAUGCAGCAGUCAAUACAGUAGUUCCCUCCAUCAGUAACCUCCAGACUCACGCCCAGGAGCCCUCUGAAGGCAGCGGUAGCACCAGGAUAGAGUGCCUGGUACAGAUGAGGCACUCAGGGAAUUACAUUAAUCUGGAAAAUAAAUGUGCAUUAGCAGUGAAAAGCUUACUCUAAAGCUGGCUCUGCAAGGAACUGGGAACAGCUGUUGGCCUGGGGGUGGGGAGGCUGGGAGAAGAGAGAGAGGGGGAAAAUUACUUUUUCACUAUACACCAUAUUAUUCUUUUUGAAUUUUGUACCAUUGGUUAUCACAAGGUAAGUAAUAUUUUUAAAAAUUUAAAGCCUAAUGUUAUUCCCCAAUCAGGGAAAUUUGCAGGAUAAUGGGAGGGAGAAAGUGGGUCUUUAGAGUCAAACUAACUUGAGUUUUCACUCCAGCUAAUCCUACUACUUCCUAGCUGUGUGUCUGAAAACAAGUUACUUAGCUUUUCAGAGCCUCAUACUACUUAACUAUGUUGGGGAGAAUGAGCAUCCGCUGCAUUGUGAUGUAGGUGAAAGUGAUAACAGCAACACUUAGGAGAUUCACUAUGUGCCAGGCACUCUUCUGAAUGCUUUCUGGCUGUGUGUGGACUCAUCCUCAGGACAACACUGCAAGAGGGAUAUUAUUCUUUUAUUCCUCCCCAUUUUACAUAUGAGGAAACUGAGCCAUAGAGAGACUGAAGAACUUGCUUUAGUUCUUUAGUUCUUUAGGCAGGCUGUUUACCUCCCAAGCCCAGCUCUUCCUACCUCUACUCUGCUGCCUUGAACUGUUAGCAUCCUCUUCCUUUCAAUCAGGAAUUCUUAGAAAUGCAGACAUUUUCAACAUCCAAAGAAAUGUCUUUCUCAUAAUGGGCUGUUGGAUAUGGUCACAGGCUAGUGAGGGCAGUGCUGGUUAGGGAAUUAGCAAAGCAGGUGAGAGAGAGAGAAAGAGAAAGAACUCUAUUGAAGUUAAGAAUUUUGCAAUCAGAGGAUGUGAUUUAAUUGUAGCAUAGCACAAUCAUAGCUCGCUGUAACCUUCAACUCCUGGGCUCAAGCAGUACUCCUGCCUCAACCUCCCGAGUAGCUGGGACUACAGAUGUAUGCUACUACACCUGCCCAGUUUUUUAAACAAAAAUACUUUUUUUUGCUAUUUUACCCAGGAUGGUCACAAACUCCUGGACUCAAGUGAUCCCCCUGCCCUGGCUUCCCAAAGUGCUGGGAUUACAGGUGUGAGCCACUGCACCAGCCUAUUUUUAUUUUAAAAUGUUUAAUUAUAUAUUAGAGGAGGAUUCCAUAAGGUCUUCAGGACUUAGGGCCUACAAAAACAUUAAAAGGGUGGAGCAAACUUUUAGUCAGGGUUGCCUCCUCCAUCCCCCUCAAAUGGGUCCUGGGUUGAGUCACCUUCUGCUUAUGUUGCUGACUCUGUGGUCACCCAUAGUAGGUCUUUCUGUGAUUAACAUCCUGAUACUAACUUGUCUGUGGUCAUUUACCUAUUCUACUUCGAAGAUUGAAUCAAAAAACAAUCGCAGGGCCAGGCGCUGUGGCUUACGUCUGUAACCCCAGCAUUUUGGGAGGUCAGGGCAGGAGGAUUACUUGAGCCCAAGAAUUUGAGAUGAGCCUGGGCAACAUAGUGAGUUCCUGUCUCUACAAAAAAUUUUUAAAAAUUAGCUGGGCGUGGUGAUGCAUGUAUGUAGUCCCAGUUACUUGGGAGGCUGAAGCACGAGAAUCUCUGGAGCCCAGGAUUUUGAGGCACUCCAGCCUGGGCAACAGCAAGAUGUCGUCUCAAAAAAAAAAAAAAAAAAAAAAAAAUCCCAGUGACUUGAAUGUUCCAGGCAGUUGGUUUCUCAAGUUCAUUGAGUUUUUACUGCACUUGGAAAAAAAGGUUUUUUUCUGCAUUUCUUUAAAAGAGUUUCAAAGUAAGUAAUGAGCCUGAAUGGGCAAGGGGUAAGGACACUUAUUUUCCUUUGGCUGAAUUGAAGGUUCUUCCUCCCCAUGUCCCAGAAUGGUUCAUUUCCUUCCAAUUUCCCCUGUGCGUGCUCACUACCCCUCCUACUCUAAGACCCUCAGUGUUUCCUUUAGGUCUUUCCUUGCGCCUCAGAAUUAGGCCACUUGCCCUUCUGAGCCCCUCCACAGGCCUUGGAGGGGCCUUAGGCUCGGCCUAUGCUCAGAGCACUCCCAACGCUGGGACCAUCCCUCCUCUUCCUGCCCCCUGAAGUGUCCAGCCUGGCAGUGGACCUUGGCCAAAGAAGAGAUGAACCAUGUGAAGACCUCAUCUCUGCCUCCCAUCACCAGUUUUCUCUGCAAGCUCACAUCAUCUCUUCCUGCCUGUCAUGCUUUAUCUAUAAGCAGCUUUCAGCAGCUCCUUACUGCCCCCAGAAGCAAGCCCAGACCUUUCCCUGGCAUCUGGACUCUCCUGCAUUUGAUCCUGACUGACCUGCGAGGCUUGCCUCUCUCCAUAGCCCAACCCAGGCCUGACUGUGGAGCAGAUCCUGAAUGCUGUCACCCUGGCUCCUGGCUCGAGCUGUUUCCUCUGCCUGUUUCUCUCCAGCCUGGGGAAGUUGACCCAUCUACCAGGGCCUAGCACAAAGCCCAUUUCUUGAAAACUUCUUCCCAGCACUUAUCUCAUUCAUGUUCUCUCUCCUUUCCUUCCCUCCUUCCCUACCCUCUUCCUCCCUUCUUUCUCUCUGUCGCUCUCUCUCUGCUUCUCUCUCUCUCUGUUUCUCUCUCUCUGUCUCUCUCUGAGUGUGUAUUGAUCUCCCUCCUCAGCCACGUUCCUAUGGGACUCCCCUUUUACCUCUGAGAUAGCACUUAUUUCAGGCUGCUUUGGAGUAGAGUUCUUCAUGUUCAUACCACCUCCCAGGUUAGAAAUUGUGCUCCUGGAAUUGAAGAGCUACCCAUUCUUCAUUCAUGUGCAUAUUGAUCAUCUGCUGGCCACACCCAGGGUUUUGCACCUGGAAUAGGUUCCUAAUAAAUGUUUGGCACUUGGUACAGUGGCUCGAUGGACAGAGCGAGCCUUGGCUUUAGCAAUGGAUAGCACACCUCCUAAUGUGUGACCUUGGACAAGUGACUUACCCGCUCCAAACCUCUUAGGUCCAAAACCUAUAAAACGGGGGUUAAAAUAGUGCCUACCCCAUAGAGUGGUGAGGGAUAAAUGAGAUAAUGUGCAGAACAUGUAAUGUAACACUUACCACUCAUAAACUAGGCAUGAGUCACCAGCUUCAUCCUACAAACACUUUCGGAGAUUUACUUUUGCCCUGGAUCCUCUGGAGUGGGUACUGGGGAGAAAGUUACUAGAAUAUUCAUGUUGAAAGACAAAGAUGACCUCGAUGCAGUCUGGGCCUGGCUACAGAAAGGAUGGUUAAGUCUGAAUGGAUUCUAAAGAAAUCAAGGGCACAACGCUGGCAGCCCCAGGCCCUUAUAAAAGGCGGGGCCUCUCUCUUCCCAACUAAAGAAAUCAGACACUGCCUAGGAAACCAGCUCCUUUAAUCUCCUUACACUAAAGAUUAACACCUACCAGAGUCCCUCCCCAAAGCCAUCUUCAUACUUUUUAAUGUGAGCCUGAAUAACUGGAGGACAGGAAAGGCAAUCUGGAGCAUGGAGAAAGGGAAUUUUCAAAGGAACUUGGCCAUUGUGUCUCUGGCACUGAGGUUGAGGGGAACAGAGGCCAGGAGGGCAGGACUCUAGAAAGCCAGGGAGCCCCUCCUGUCAUUGAGACACACAUUGAAUCCUUUUCCUUGGAUUCCAGGAGCAGCAGUCCUGGACAGGGGCCAUGGAGGGUGAGGUAUAGUGGGGAGGGAAGGGUGGGUGGGAGCAGAGCAGUAUCCUCCCUCUCUCUGGCCACUGUGGUUCUCAGCGUACAUUCUUAAAUGGGUGUUUUGAUAUAUUUCAGCCUCUGAGAAUGUUGGCAGACCACCAGCUUUUCUCAGGGCCAAGCUCCCUUGAAUAAGUCGAUGUACUUCUGCAUACCAUCCCCACUGGCCUGUCCACCGUCUAGGUUCCUGUGAUGGGGUGGUGGUGUGGGAUUGGGGGAGGGGUGGGGGGAUUGAUGCCGGGGACGGAGCAGUUGCUGUGGACGAUUUGAGUCCUGUGUGGCAGCCUUUCCCUUGGAGACAAGAUCCUGGGCUAGGCUCUUGGCACGUGAAUGACUCUUGGAGACCAUCUAGUCCAAUCCACCCUUUUACAGAUGAGGAAACUGAGACGUAAAGAGCCCAAGCCAAGAUGAAAACCCAAAUCUCACCCCAGUCCAGGGUUUUUGUCCUGUUUCUCUAUGACAGUCCCGUAAAGAAAUUUUGCUGUGAUAUGAUGCAGGUGUCACAACAAGGCUGAAAAGGACAAAUCUGGAUUUGAUUAGAAAGUGUGAGUCCUACUUGCUCAAUCUCACAUUGAAGCCACAACUUACUCCUUGCCUGAGAGUAGCUUCUCGUCCUGUGGUGUGGGGAGGGGUGGGCAGAGGGAGGACUGGUGCAAACAGUGUUUAGAUUUCCUCUCUGAUAGACUCCUGGGGUGUGAGAGUUUUGACUUGAAGGAUCUGCUCUUUUGAGUGCUAGGCAGGUAGGCAGGCAUUCUCUUCCUCCUUCCCUAAAAGAUCUGUAGCCUCUUUAGGAUCAAAGGACGCUGGUGUGCAAUGAGAAUGCCACUGAGAGGUGGCACCCAGCACCCAUCCAGGAAAAGGAACAGACAGAGUGAAAAACUGAUGAUGGUAACUCACAUGAGUUAAAAAAAAAAAAAAAGCAGAAGUAAGUAAAGCUGGCAUGGGUAUGACCAAUGGAAAGGCUCAAAUAAUGGGGAUGUAGAAAGGAUUGAUGAAACUCUCAGGGGAAAUUCAUUCACUCAGUCAAGAGCUCUUUAACGGAACACUUACUCUGUACCAGGUUCAGUUGUCGGCACUGGAGAAAUCACACCAAGAAGGGUGCAGAGACCCAUUGCAAGUGACUUGGGAAGAGGAAAACUCAGUCAUGGGCAGACACCCAGUUAAAUGGAAAGCAGAGUUAAAGGAGGACAGCGGGAAGAAUGAGAUCUUGAAAAAUCCAUCAGCAAUUUCGGGACGAUAACAUGUGCACAGAUGAUAUUUUUUAAAAACCUGGGAGAAAGGAGUCAGUGGGAGACACAAUUUGAGAGCUACUGUGGCACUCUGGGGACCAAACUAAAGUGUUUGCACCACAUGCUGGGGUAAUUCAAUCACUCAGCAAGCACUGUUUGAGCACCUGUGUUUCUCUGGCCACACUAGUCUCCCUGCUGUUCCUUGUCCUCACCAGGCAUGCUUCCCUACUCUGCCUUUAAUCUGCAGGGGGAUUAUCAUAGCUCAUUGUAACCUUGAACUCCUGGGCUCAAGCGAUUCUCCCAUUUCAGCCUCCCCAAUAGAUGGGACUACAGGCCUGCACCACCAUGCCAGGCUAUUUUUUUUUCUAUUUUGGUAUAGGUGGGGUCUCACUAUGUUGCCCAGGAGGUCACUAUCUCCUGGGCUCAAGCCAUCCUCCCGCCUUGGCCUCCCAAAGUGCUAGUAUUACAAAUGUGAGCCACCACACCCAUCCAGAGUUCCCCUUUUUUUUGAGGGCUUCCCCCUACUCAGUAGCACCAUUGUCUUAGGUCAUUUUCUGUUGCUGUAACAUAUACCACAGAUUGGGUAAUUUAUAAAGAAAUUUAUUUCUUACAGUUCUGGAGGCUGUAAAGUCCACAUCUGGUGAGGGCCUUUUUGCUGGUGGGAACUCUCUGAAGAGUCCCCAGGUGGUGCAGAGCACCACAAGGUGAGGGGACUGAGUGUGUUAGCUCAGUUCUCUCAUCCUCAUCUUAUGAAGCUGCUAGUCCCAUUCCUGUAGCAACCCAUUAGUCCAUCAACCCAUGAAUCCAUGAAUGGAUUUAUCCAUUUAUGAGGGCAGAGCUCUCAUGACCCAAUCACCUCUUAAAGGCCCCAACUCUGAAUAUUGCUACAUUGGGGGUUGAACUUCAACAUAAGUUUUGGAGGGGACAAAUAUCCAAGCCCUAGCAACCAUUUAGCAAAUGCGUAAACAAGCUGCAAUUGUGGUGACAAGAGAAGGCACAUCACCCUGGAAAGGACCCUGUCUCAUUUUUCUUUGUUUUUAUUUUUUAUUUUUAUUAAGAUUAUUUUUUAGAGAUGUGGUCUCUCCAUGUUGCCCAGGCUGGCCUUGAACUCCUAGCCUCAAGUGAUCCUCCUGCCUUAGCCUCCCAAAGUGCUGGGAUUACAGGUGUGAGCCACCAAGUCCAGUUUAUCUCAUUCAUCAUUGUACCCCAGUGCUAGGCACAUAGUAAGCAUUGAGGAAAUGUUGAAUGAAUGAAUAUCAUUUUUAAGCACUGAGGAAACCUAUUUUUAAAAUAGUAAAUGUUAUUAUCACAACUUUGUAAAAAGUGCAUUUUAAAAUGUUUCUAAAAUCCACUAAUAAAUACCAACAGUAAGCCGGACAUGGUAGUGUGUCCGUAAUCCCAACUACUCAGGAAGCUGAGGCGAGGAGGAUCACUUCAGCUUAGGAGUUUAAGGCUGCAGUGAGCUGUGAUUGUGCCACUGCACCCCAGCCUGGCCAACAGAGCAAGACCCCGUCUUUAAAAAAAGUUGUAAAAAGAAAUACCAACAGCAGUUGAAUGGUGGAGUUCUGGGAAAUCUUUCGUUAUUUCCUUUUCUUUUCUCUUCCUUCCUUCCUUCCUUCCUUUCUCUUUCUUUCUUUCCUUUUUUUUUUUUUUUGACAGUGUCUUGCUGUCGCCCAGGCUGGAGUGCAGUAGUGCAAUCUUGGCUCGCUGCAACCUCUGCCUCCUGGGCUCAAGCACACCUCAACCUCCCUAGUAGCUGGGAUUCCAGGCGCAUGCCACCACGCCCAUCUAAUUUUUCUAUUUUUAGUAGAGAUGGGAUUUUGCCAUGUUGGCCAGGCUGGUCUUGAACUCCUGACCUCAAGUGAUCCACCUGCCUCGGCCUCCCAAAGUGCUGGGAUUACAGGCAUGAGCCACUGUACCUGGCCUUUUUCUUUCUUUUCUGUAUUUUUCCCAUUUUGUGUACUAUAGCAACAUUUUUAAUAAUGAAUAAAGUAUAUUUUAGUCCCAUCCACACCUUCCUUCCUCCCAAAAAAGGAAUUGUGAGAAUUACAAUUUACAACCUAAUAUUUUAAAAGUCUUGUGCCAUGUAAAGUGUAAAUGACGAAGACUGAGAAACCAUGACCUGAACUUUAUAAUGCAAUGAAAUAAAGUUUACCACACUCUGACGUGUCUGACAAUAUGCAUGAGGAUUGUGUAGCUGGGCAUGACCAACAAUUCUCAUAAAACACUGUGAUUGGUAUUACUUGAAACAGCCAAACUGGCCUCUGUCAGAUGCUUGGGGAAGGGAGGCGGGAACUGGAUGGGGUGUGUGUGGCUCUGUUGGCCUCAGAAGACCCCUGGAUCCAUAACCCAGGUAUGCCACUUUGCUGGCAGAGAAGGCCAGGACCUGGGAGCUCCGAGGACCUCCGGCUGACAGAUUUGCAGCCUCCAAGUGGGGCUGGUGCUGCACAGGCUUCACAAAGGAGCUUUUUACCACAACAGGAACGGCACGAACACCCCAAACUCUGCUUUCCUUCCCUUCCCAGCCUUCUAGAUAUGGAGAGUUCAUAAGGAUACUGCCUGAAAUGUCAUCAAUAAAAAUGUGUUGGGCAGCAGAACGAUUGCCUUUGAGAGGGCUAGAGGAGAGAAUAUUCAUUCACACAACAAAUGUUUAUUGAGAAUCUACUAUAUGCCAAGCAUAAGGGAGGUCCUGUGCAUACAUGGUGUCAUUUCCUUGCAUCAGCCUGAUGAAGAUGCUAUUAGACCCCACUAUACAGAUAAUGAAACAGGCUGGGAAAUGUUAAGUUAGUGACACUGAGUCACACAUUUAAGUAAGUGGUGGUAGUGGGGAGGGAGGUGGAAAGGGAGGGAGGAGGGACUCAAACACAGCCCCAUCAGAGGUGGAGAGCCUCUCUUCCCACAUUGCGCAUUGCACAACAGCAGAGGUUUCCAGACUUCAUGCUUACAGCCUUUGUGACCAUCAGCAGCUACUCUGGGUCUCGGUCUCCUUGUUUAUAAAAAUA
rnacentral:lncRNA from 1 species